rnacentral:lncRNA from 10 species
AGUGAAUAAGUCUCACAAGAUCUGAAGGUUAUAUAAAGAGAAGUUCCCUACACCACUUCUGUCUUUGCCUGCUGCCAUCCACGUGAUAUGUGACUUGCUGCUCCUUGCCUUCUGCCAUAAUUGUGAGGCCUCCUCAGCCACACGGAAAUGCUUAUAGGCAUAAGAGACUUGCCUUGUCUCAGAUGAAACUUUGGACUGUGGACUUUUGAGUUAAUGCUGAUAUUAGGACUCUGCUUACCCUUUGUGAAUAAGCCCAGUGAAUCUGCUGAGUGAUGAGAGAGAGAGUGGGCCAGUCACUUCAUUGCUCCAGGAUUUUCUGUUGAAUGACACUUCAUAAAAAAGACUUUGAUUGCUGAGUUACAAAGACAAUUGUAUCUUCUUGUAAAGCAUACAGUCUUGGUGGUCCUACCCCAUGAACUGGCUGUCCCAGGACGGUUUUACGGUGGUUAUGUUGAAGAUGUAAAUAUUCUCCCUGCUGUGAGUAUUACUGCAGCUGCCCAAAGAUGCUUUAUUUUAAAGAUGUGGAUACAGGAAGAUAAAAGCAUCAGAAACACUGCAUGGGAAAAUCAUUCAGACUGCAGCUUCCUGGUUUUAGACAUCCCCACUGGCAAUUGGGACAUCUAUUUUGGAGAUGUAAUUGAAAAGACUGAAGAAUGUACUGAGGACCUUCUGGCUGAUAGAAGCUGACAAAGAAGCCAAGAUUGGUGAAGAUUUCUGCAAUACCUGAGUUUCUAAUCACAACAACAAAAAUGACCUGGAUAGAAAACCUUGGAGAUAGUAAUUGAUGGGCAUCACGUAGCUGGUUGCUGGAGAAACACUGAAGCAGAACUUGUAAUAUCUUCAAAACAAGUGAAGGCCAGGAAUCAGAAAUGCUUCUGAAGGUCAGCUGCCUCUCCAGCCAUCUAUGAAGAGCUAUGGUUCUGAAUCCUGGCUAAUAUCAGAAUCAUCCUGGGAGCUUUUGAAAAUCCUGAUGCUCAAGUCACACUCCAUACUCAGACAAGAAGCUGAGUCUCAGAGAGAGAAAAUGACUCAUCCAAGCAAGGUUUGAGACCUAAGAAAGGUUGUGUAAGCAGAAGCUGGAAGACCCUUGAAAAGAGCAUUCAUUCAAGAAAUGAAGCAUGAGAUAGGAUGGAAGGAGGGAAGAAAGACAAGCAUAUGGCAUAUCAGGUCUCUUCCAGUGCUAAAGGCUGCCUAUGAUACUCAUCUGACCUGAUUUCUCCUGCACAGUGUUGCAACUGACGAGUAGCAGACUUGCCCUUGCCUGCAUUUGGGGGGAUGGCUGAGACUUUCCUUACAGAAAGCCCUACUUUCAGCAUGAACACUAACCCAGUUUAUUGGCUCAGGGUGUAGAGAGUUGCCUUGUCACUGGCGAAGUCAGAUGCAGCCAGUACCAGAGCUCUGCACUAGCUGUGAACACUAAGGAAGAAUAGCUGAGUGAGGAAGCAGAGUGCCAGGCAGCACAUCCUUCUUCAGGUGUUUCCUGCCCUGGGCCAGAUCCCAGGCACUGCAGCAAUAUCUCUGCAUGAUCUAGGGCUCCUGGAAAUAGCCCAUUAAGGGCAAAACUCGCUGCCCAGAAAACAUUAGAACAUUAAAAGAGCAGGGUCUCAUCUGAUUGUCUUGGUUUCCUGAGGCUCAUUCAGUCUGUGUCCACUGGUUUCAGUCUGAGUUCUCUGCACUUUGAGGAUGCAGACAGUGAAGUUCUCCCAUGGUUAUAGGGGGAGAGAUCAUAGGAAUGCUAUGGAAAGAGGCCUGAAGUCAGAGCCAGCUAGUGGUUAUUAUUUAUUAAUUGCCUGUGAGGUGCCAGGCGCACAUAUUAGACCAUAUGUGAUUGCAGUGAGCCACCCGGAUCCCCUUCAAGCUGCUGCUGCAGCUGAUGGAAGUCCUAUUGGCAGACAGCCUUCUCUCAUCAGCCCCUUCAGGACUUGCCUCAGUUGCAGAGAGCUGCCUUCCCCAAGAUCACACCCUUCCCUGGGGACUCACAACCAAUGGCUGAUCCAGAAGAAUCCAUAAAGCCCGUAUCAUUUCAGCCCAAUUUAGGACAGCUUUGUUGAGCCAUUAGACCUACAUGCAGCCCAACCUCUCCUUCUACCCACUUCUUCUUUCUUCCCUUUCCUUCCACGGUGUCUGUUCCAAGCACUUGCCUUAAUAAACAUGUAACAGGUUAAACUCUGUCUCGAUGUCUGCUUCAAGGAGAACCCAACCUGUGACAGUGAUAACAGAUAAAAACAAAGGACAUCACUUUUCCCUGCCUUACUUUCCAUUUACCACUAAAAAGGGUCUUGGACUUGCCCACUCAGUUUCUUCUCUUUCUUCACUCUUUGGAGAUGGUCCCUCCACUACCACAGACACAAAAAAGAAGAGUUGGGAAGAGAGAGGGGUGAAAACAUUUGGGGCACUGCAGGCCUAGUGCUAGGUGACUGAAGACUACCUGGAGGGUGCAGGAAGUGACUGUUUCUCCAUCAUGUAUUGUAUUGCUAUAGUGACUUAAAAAACAAGUAGGUGAUUUGUGUUUUUUUGGUUUUUUUUUGUUUUUUUGGUUUUUUUUUUGAGACAGAGUCUCGCUCUGUCACCCAGGCUGGAGUGCAGUGGCGCUAUCUUGGCUCACUGCAAGCUCCACCUCCUGGGUUCAC